AGAGUUUGAUCCUGGCUCAGAACGAACGCUGGCGGCGUGCCUAACACAUGCAAGUCGAACGAGAAAGCAGACUUCGGUCUGCUAGUACAGUGGCAGACGGGUGAGUAACACGUGGGUAAUCUGCCCGGAGGUGGGGGAUAACCUUCCGAAAGGAAGACUAAUACCGCAUAAUAUCUGAUUUGUUUCGGCUUUUCAGAUCAAAGUUGGCCUCUACUUGUAAGCUAACACCAUCGGAUGAGCUCGCGGCCCAUUAGCUUGUUGGUGAGGUAACGGCUCACCAAGGCCACGAUGGGUAGCCGGCCUGAGAGGGCGAUCGGCCACACUGGAACUGAGACACGGUCCAGACUCCUACGGGAGGCAGCAGUGAGGAAUUUUGCGCAAUGGGGGAAACCCUGACGCAGCGACGCCGCGUGUAGGACGAAGGCCUUCGGGUCGUAAACUACUGUCAAGUGGGACGAAUGCCACGGGGACUAAUAAGGCCUGUGGUGACGGUACCACUGAGAGCC
rnacentral:rRNA from 1 species